rnacentral:rRNA from 1 species
CCUACGGGGAGGCAGCAGUGAGGAAUAUUGGCCAAUGGGCGAGAGCCUGAACAAGCCAAGUCGCGUGAAGGAUGACGGCCCUACGGGUUGUAAACUUCUUUUGUCAGGGAGCAAUUGGGUCCAAGCGUGGGCUUAGCGAGAGUACCUGAAGAAAAAGCAUCGGCUAACUCCGUGCCAGCAGCCGCGGUAAUACGGGGGAUGCGAGGGUUAUCCGGUUUUAUUGGGUUUAAAGGGUGCGUAGGCGGAAUAUCAAGUGAGCGGUAAAAAUUCGGGGCUCAACCCCGUCGUGCCGUUGAAACUGAGGUUCUUGAGUGGACGAGAGGUAUGCGGAAUGCGUGGUGUAGCGGUGAAAUGCAUAGAUAUCACGCAGAACUCCGAUUGCGAAGGCAGCAUACCGGCGCCCAACUGACGCUGAGGCACGAAAGCGUGGGUAUCGAACAGGAUUAGAUACCCGUGUAGUC